rnacentral:rRNA from 1 species
UACGGAGGAUGCAAGCGUUAUCCGGAUUUAUUGGGUUUAAAGGGUUCGUAGGUGGUUUGUUAAGUCAGUGGUGAAAGCGUGCGGCUCGACCGUACCGAGCCAUUGAAACUGGCGGACUUGAGUGCAAACGAGGUAGGCGGAAUGUGAUGUGUAGCGGUGAAAUGCUUAGAUAUGUCACAGAACCCCGAUUGCGAAGGCAGCUUACCAGCAUGCAACUGACACGGAGGCACGAAAGCGUGGGGAUCGAACA